rnacentral:rRNA from 1 species
AUUGAACGCUGUCGGCAGGCCUAACACAUGCAAGUCGCACGAGUGGCGGACGGGUGAGUAAUGUCUGGGAAACUGCCCGAUGGAGGGGGAUAACUACUGGAAACGGUAGCUAAUACCGCAUACCCUCGGAUGUGCCCAGAUGGGAUUAGAUAGUAGGGGGGGUAACGGAUCACCUAGGCGACGUUCCCUAGCUGGUCUGAGAGGAUGACCAGCCACACUGGAACUGAGACAAGGUCCAGAAGCCUAAGGGAGGCAGCAGUGAGGAAUAUUGCACAUUGAGAGCAAGCCUGAUUCAGCAAUGCCGCAUGUAUGAAGAAGGCCUUCGGGUUGUAAAGUACUUUCAGCGAGGAGGCGUUACUCGAAGAAGAAGCACCGGCUAACGCCGUGCCAGCAGCCGCGGUAAUUC